GCGUGUGUGUGUGUGUGUGUGUAUGUAUGUAUGUAUGUAUGUAUAUAUAUAUAUAUAUAUAUAUAUAUAUAUAUGCGUACACACACACACUCACAG